GACGAACGCUGGCGGCGUGCUUAACACAUGCAAGUCGAACGGAAAGGCCCUGCUUUUGUGGGGUGCUCGAGUGGCGAACGGGUGAGUAACACGUGAGUAACCUGCCCUUGACUUUGUGAUAACUUCAGGAAACUGGGGCUACUACCGGCUAGCAGCUCCUGCUGCAUGGUGGGGGUUGGAAAGUUUCGGCGGUUGUGGAUGGACGCGCGGCUUAUCAGCUUGUUGGUUGGGUAGUGGCUUACCAAGGCUUUGACGGGUAGCCGGCCUGAGAGGGUGACCGGCCACAUUGGGACUGCGAUACGGACCAGACUCGUACGGGAGGCAGAAGUGGGGAAUAUUGCACAAUGGGCGGAAGCCUGAUGCAGCAACGCCGCGUGCGGGAUGACGGCCUUCGGGUUGUAAACCGCUUUAGCCUGUGACGAAGCGUGAGUGACGGUAAUGGGUAAAGAAGCACCGGCUAACUACGUG
rnacentral:rRNA from 1 species